ACUUCCUGGUGCAGUUCCCGCAAGAACCCGGAGCCCUACGGCGGUUCCUCGACGAGGUGCUGGGCCCCGAGGACGAC
rnacentral:tRNA from 1 species